GUUAGUGCAAUGGCAUAAGCCAGCUUGACUGCGAGCGUGACGGCGCGAGCAGGUGCGAAAGCAGGUCAUAGUGAUCCGGUGGUUCUGAAUGGAAGGGCCAUCGCUCAACGGAUAAAAGGUACUCCGGGGAUAACAGGCUGAUACCGCCCAAGAGUUCAUAUCGACGGCGGUGUUUGGCACCUCGAUGUCGGCUCAUCACAUCCUGGGGCUGAAGUAGGUCCCAAGGGUAUGGCUGUUCGCCAUUUAAAGUGGUACGCGAGCUGGGUUUAGAACGUCGUGAGACAGUUCGGUCCCUAUCUGCCGUGGGCGCUGGAGAACUGAGGGGGGCUGCUCCUAGUACGAGAGGACCGGAGUGGACGCAUCACUGGUGUUCGGGUUGUCAUGCCAAUGGCACUGCCCGGUAGCUAAAUGCGGAAGAGAUAAGUGCUGAAAGCAUCUAAGCACGAAACUUGCCCCGAGAUGAGUUCUCCCUGACCCUUUAAGGGUCCUGAAGGAACGUUGAAGACGACGACGUUGAUAGGCCGGGUGUGUAAGCGCAGCGAUGCGUUGAGCUAACCGGUACUAAUGAACCGUGAGGCUUAACCUU
rnacentral:rRNA from 1 species